AGGGUUUGAUCAUGGCUCAGAACGUACGCUGGCGGCACGCCUAACACAUGCAAGUCGAACGAAGUAGCAAUACUUAGUGGCAGACGGGUGAGUAACAUGUAGGUAUCUACCCCAUGGCCUGGAAUAACACGAGGAAACUUGUGCUAAUACUGGAUAAGUCUUUACGGAGAAAGCUUUAUGCACCAUUGGAUGAGCCUGCACUUGAUUAGUUUGUUGGUAGGGUAAUGGCCUACCAAGACUUUGAUCAAUAGCUGAUUUGAGAGGAUGAUCAGCCACAUUGGGACUGAGACACGGCCCAAACUCCUACGGGAGGCAGCAGUGGGGAAUCUUGCACAAUGGAGGAAACUCUGAUGCAGCGAUGCCGCGUGAGUGAAGAAGGCCCUUGGGUUGUAAAGCUCUUUCGUCGGGGAAGAAAAUGACUGUACCCGAAUAAGAAGGUCCGGCUAACUUCGUGCCAGCAGCCGCGGUAAUACGAAGGGACCUAGCGUAGUUCGGAAUUACUGGGCUUAAAGAGUUCGUAGGUGGUUGAAAAAGUUGGUGGUGAAAUCCCAGAGCUUAACUCUGGAACUGCCAUCAAAACUUUUCAGCUAGAGUUUGAUAGAGGAAAGCAGAAUUUCUAGUGUAGAGGUGAAAUUCGUAGAUAUUAGAAAGAAUACCAAUUGCGAAGGCAGCUUUCUGGAUCAUUACUGACACUGAGGAACGAAAGCAUGGGUAGCGAAGAGGAUUAGAUACCCUCGUAGUCCAUGCCGUAAACGAUGUGUGCUAGACGUUGGAAAUAUAUUUUUCAGUGUCGCAGCGAAAGCAUUAAGCACACCGCCUGGGGAGUACGACCGCAAGGUUAAAACUCAAAUGAAUUGACGGGGACCCGCACAAGCAGUGGAGCAUGUGGUUUAAUUCGAAGAUACGCGCAGAACCUUACCAACACUUGACAUGUUCGUCGCGAGACUAAGAGAUUAGUUUCUUCAGUUCGGCUGGACGAAACACAGGUGCUGCAUGGCUGUCGUCAGCUCGUGUCGUGAGAUGUUGGGUUAAGUCCCGCAACGAGCGCAACCCUCAUCUUUAGUUGCCAUCAGUUCGGCUGGGCACUCUAGAGAAACUGCCUGGGAUGACCAGGAGGAAGGCGAGGAUGACGUCAAGUCCUCAUGGCCCUUAUGGGCUGGGCUACACACGUGCUACAAUGGCGGUGACAAAGGGAAGCAAUAGGGCAACCUGGAGCAAAUCCCUAAAAGCCGUCUCAGUUCGGAUUGUUCUCUGCAACUCGAGAGCAUGAAGUUGGAAUCGCUAGUAAUCGUAGAUCAGCAUGCUACGGUGAAUACGUUCCCGGGCCUUGUACACACCGCCCGUCACACCAUGGGAGUUGGUUUUACCCGAAGACGGUAUCCUAACCUUUUAGGGGGGAGCCGGCCACGGUAGGGUCAGCGACUGGGGUGAAGUCAUAACAAGGUAGCCGUA
rnacentral:rRNA from 1 species